rnacentral:rRNA from 1 species
GAUGAACGCUGGCGGCGUGCCUAAUACAUGCAAGUCGAGCGAACAGACCAGGAGCUUGCUCCUCUGACGUUAGCGGCGGACGGGUGAGUAACACGUGGAUAACCUACCUAUAAGACUGGGAUAACUUCGGGAAACCGGAGCUAAUACCGGAUAAUAUAUUGAACCGCAUGGUUCAAUAGUGAAAGACGGUUUUGCUGUCACUUAUAGAUUGAUCCGCGCCGCAUUAGCUAGUUGGUAAGGUAACGGCUUACCAAGCCAACGAUGCGUAGCAGACCUGAGAGGGUCGUCGGCCACACUGGAUCAGAGACUCGUUCCAGACUCCUACGCGAGGCAGCAGUAGGGAAUCUUCCGCGAUGGGCGAGAGCUUGACGGAGCAACGCCGCGUGAGGGAUGACGGUCUUCGGAUCGUAAAACGCUGUUAUUAGUGAAGAACAAAUGUUUAAGUACCUAUGCACGUCUUGACGGUACCUAAUCAGAAAGCCACGGCUAACUACGUG